UAUUAAUUGGUGCACAAUUUCCUCAAAUGCCUUCACCCUCAGGAGAAGCUGCAGAUGCCGGAUGGGAUGUUGAUACGUGCACGUUUCCAUUUCAGCCCUGUGUAGGGCCCUACAGAGGGGCAGGAUGCGACUGUACCUCCCCUCUGCAUUGCUUUGUGACCAGAGGAGUUGGCUCCAGAAACAUCAGCCUAUGUUAAGCAUCUUUCAUCAGCUUUGACUUUGCUAAUGGCAUUGAUUUGCUUUAAAUACUUCUGCCAUUUCAGAUUCUCAGUCCUUUGUCAAUGGAACGGGAUGUGCCUCCUUUUGAAUCUGAGAUGUAGAAACCUUCCUGUUCACUUGCCAGACAAGCUCUACUUUGGAUGUAGAAAAUACAGUUAUAUAUCCCAGCAGACUGUCUCCUCUCUUUUGUGUAUCAUAUCCCUUCUCAACCUGGAGGUAAAAGCCAAGAUGUCACAAAGUAGGCAGCUGCUUCUUCCUAAAACACUUGUGAGUCAAUUCCCAGUGGGCAUGAAGAUGAAGAUAACCCGGAGUGCUUGCAGGGACAGGCUCCAUUCGUCACCUAGCAGUUUCUUGCUUGUCUGUUUUAACCCUCUCUGACACUUUUCAUCAGUCUUACCAUUUCCAAGUCUUUUCAGCCAGGAGGGCUGGCUUGCCCACCAGGUGUGGCAGGAAACUGGGGUCCAGGAACAUCUGACCUGAAUCUUAAACUAGCAUGCAUUGAAGGUGUUUGUGAGCUUCUAUUUUACUGAAUAACUGCAGCUCUUCUGUUGCUAUGAAAGCAGCUACUGACACUGUGUGUUGGAUAUCUGACAGUUCAUGGGCUGAUAUCUCUGUAUGUUGCCACUCCUGAUGAUGUGGCGUUUCCUAUCAGUAACAAUUGCACAACACUAACUGUGAAUUAGAGAUAAUUGCCGAAUUAUUUUGAAUAUCUUGGGAAAAAGCUCUAUAAUUGUCUAAGAUGCAACAGAAAUAUGUCGUCUGCCUAAGCAAGAAAGGACUUGAUACAGAAAUCUCUCCAAUCUGAAUACAGCGCUUUCUUUACUACAGCUGAACUGUCUUCUGGAGAGAAUGAAAAGAAUGGAGUGGAAGUGUGGAAAGAGUGGAAAAGGCUGGAUUGUGCUCAAUCAUGAAGCAGCACCAGGCUGAUAUAGGAUGCCACUGCCUAUUAUAUCUCCGGGCAGCAACAGUCUGAGGGUGUUGAGAAAGAAACAUAGUAAGAUUAUGCCAAAGCCACUCCUGUUUAUACAGAAAAAAGAUUGUUUUGUGCCUUAUUUUUUUUGUAAAGAUUGAAGACUUAACCACAAAAUAGAAACCAAUAUAGCUGGGAGCCCAGGGAUGAAAGCUUUAAACCUGGAGGGUGCCUGGUACUUCCUGAGAACCUCACAGGGGAAGCGUUCAGUCCCCAAACAGCCUUGCUAACAGAUACGUUUUUAUAGUCUAUUAUUUUCUUUCUUCGUUCUUUGUUUCAUUUGAAUAUAAUAGGCUCUUUAUUUUUAACUGCUCGUCUGUUCCUGCUGUUUAUAUCCUCAUCCCAAAAUCAUAAUUCUCUAGUUAUUUUCUUUUUUCCUUUUUUGACAUCAUUUGGUUACUGUCUAACCAUACUACAAUGCCUGUAUAGAAGGGACAUGGUUUAUUUUUUUUUUUACAUUUUCCAUUUUCCUCCCUGUCUUUUCAAUAGAAUCCCAUAUUUCAAUUCGAACCAAAAAGUUGUAGCCUUAUUUAUAGGUCUUGAAUUUUGGCAGUGAUGUAAGUGUAUUAUAUGCUUGUAUGACUUCAUGAGAGAAAAAGCUGGAGCUGCAGAUGAAUAUGUAAAAAUGUUAUUUUCCUGUUUGUUUUUAUAAUGCGUGAGAUGGAGAAAAGACUUUUAGGCCUGUGAUAGUAUAGUUAUUUUAUUUCAAAAUCAUCUGUUUAUUCAUUUAGAUAGAUAGAUGGAGAACUUCCUGGCAUCGCAGUCUUUAAUUUGGACAAAUAUGCAACAUAGGGUACUUGUGUUCAUCUUAUCCUGGCAUUCAUCUUAUAAAAUCCAUUUCAGGGUACUAUCUGUGAGAGCCAGUUCCCCUCUCAUGCUGCCCCUGCACAACCCCGUGUCCUCCAGCCAUUGAGGGUGAAACAGCGGUGUUUGCUCAACUGCCCUGCACAUACAAGUGGCUCUGCAUGCUGCUGGGUCAGCAUGACACAAAUGUACCACCUCUGAUACUCUGCAGCAGACCUUGUUGUGAGUUCUUGCCCACUGGCAGCAAAACAGACUGGAGAGCCGGAGUCAGGCUUUGCUCUCCAUGCUGCCAUUGCCUCCAAGUGACUUUUGGGCAAGUUUGUAAACCUGGUGCUUACUUUACCCUUCUCUAAGUUAGCAGUUGCAGUGCCUGCCUCCAAGAGUGUUUCAGAAUAGAACUGGUGGGAAAAAAAAGUUUUUUGACCCAGAAAACCCGUUAUACAUACUUGCCUAUAAUUAUUUAGCAUAGAAUAUUACUUAUUUACAUGCAUGUACAACAUUAAUUUAGCUUCCAAUUUAAUCAUAACGAAAACCCAAAUAAUUAAAAUCUUCAUUACAGAAUGUUUCCUCAUCUCCAGGUCUGUCAAGGUUCAGUCAGAAUGCAUCUUACUGUGAGAUAGUUAAAUGCUCCAGUUGGGGUUUGCUAUUCUGUGGAAAAAAAGUAUACUUUUUUUUAACUGAAAUGGGAUUUGCUGCUCUAAAGCUGUUUCAGGAAUACCUUUCUGUUGCAUAACUAAAAGAGGUACCUGGAAAUGAUUUUAAGCUGCUUGCAAAAGAACAGCCAGGCAUCUAUGACCUUAUAAUUAUUAAUUAUAAUGCAAUUAAUAAUUAUUAUUAUGAUUACUUAACUCUUCUAAGUGUAUAUGUUCUUUUUAUGUGCCUUCUUGUUCUUUUUAUGUGCUUUCUUUUUUGCAGAUUGAUCACCUUAAUUAUGGUAUGUCUGUUUGCAUGUACUUAGUGACUAUUAAAAUGAAACCUGAAGUGCAUUCUCAAACAAAUUAGGAGCUGCUUUGUAUGUUUUGAGGCUAUCUCAAUGGGAAUGGACUAGAGUUUUUCAUCUCCCUGUGCUGAUGUAGUUUGGACUUUGCAUUAUGUCAUUUUCCCAGACUUUUGACAGAAAAUGCUCCUUCUGUUCUCAGUAUUUUGACCAUUACUGGUAAUUGUCUAAUGAUUAACUCUUAGAGCAAUGGGGAAGAAAGCAUACGCCAUCAUCCUGAAAUGCUGAAUUCUACCAGCUCCUGAAAGGGAUAAAUCUCUAAAAAUUUACAGAACAACGCAUUUUGUAGCUAGGUCAUGUAAUUUAAUUUUCAUGUUUCAGUCACUUUUCACAAUUACCUGGGCAACUAGAAAAUCCAGAAAUCCCCACUGUAUAGUCAUCUGCUUGCAAGUCCCCACAGGAAACACCUGCAAUACUGAAUUAAAUACAGAUGCCAUUUUAUGAUCUUUAAAUAAUAACUUGAAAGAAUAAAAUACCUAUGGAAUGGGUCUCAAAAAUCCAUUGAGAUUAAGCCUAAAUUUGAGCCCCACUUUGCUGAAGCCCUGCUUUGCACACGAGGUAUGUCUACACAAGAAAGAUGAGUCAAGUUUUGUGCUAUUUUUCUCUUUUUCUUCCCUGGCAGUAUUGGGGUCACUCGAGGCAGUCACUGCCCAUGCUCACCCAGAUGAGCAGUGCAACCAAUGUGUCCUUUCUUACAGCAUUUUUGGCAAUGUUCAUGUAGAAGUGGACCAGAUCUGAUGAGCUGUCCGGCCUGAGCCUGUUGGCAGAGUUGAGACUAUGAAAUAUUGUGCAGUUCUUCCUCUCCCUCAGAUAAGGCAGGAGCCUUCUUACCUCUGUUUACACUGCUAUCUCCUGGGCAGUUUUUCCAUUCUGCUUCAGCUGCUUUUCUCAGCAGAGCCUAUUAUGGGUACAUCGCAAAACUUUUCCUUUUGUUCUUAGCUUGAGAUCUCCAUUACAGGGGAAGGAUAGCUGAGGCUUUGGGAUUAAGGAGAUCUGAGUAGGUGUUUUUUUUUGUUUUUUUCUUUCUUGUCUUAGUUAUUCAUUCUUCAUCACCAAAUUGAGCUAUAAAGAGAAGUUAUAACAUUUGGCUGCCUCGCUUGCUCGUGCAUUGGUGUUUAUAGCAGGUUUUGAGAAUGUCCUUAGAAAAUAAAGUGCUAUUGGUGAUGGUAGUGUAAUACUAUAGUUGUCUUAAUUUUUGCAUAAUUUAAACAAGUUUUUAAAUUUUCUACACCUCUGAAAUUAAAUCACUUCUAAUGUCAUGACUAGAACUUGUUGUACACCAGUUACACACCAAUUAUUUGUGCCUUUCUUAGGCUAAAAGGAAACAAAAGUAAAGAAAUGGAUAAAGAUUCUGAAUCAGAAUUGAUGUUGAACAGGAAGAAUAUUCAUAAGACAUCCUUAUAGGGUGGAGGCAUAUACUGCAAAAUAAAAUGAUUCAGAGAAGCAUUUCAUCGCUUUGAUUAGGUUAUGUGUAUGCAACCCUAUUGUAAGUGUUGGUAUCUCUACUUUGGGAGCUAAAGAGACCACCCUUUUUGAGCUGGCCAUCUCUUACUCCAGCGUGAAAAACAGCCGUCUUGAGGCCUUACAAUGAAAUUACUGCUGGAUGAACUCAGAGAAUCACCUUGUGGUUUUGAAUUAGAGUUUCUCCAACUACAAAGUUGAGAGGAAAAAUUCAUAUUGUGGCCUCGCUCUGACAGCACUGGGGCAGUGAUAUGAUGAAGACAAGCAAAUUUUCCAUUGCUGUAUACCAUGGAAAGGUAAAAUGUAGCUGGCCGCUUCCUCAGUUUGGCAGUCACAAGUAUGUGAAAAGAAGCUACUUCUGCAUUGCCAUGAUUUUCUUUGGCCUAAGAUUAGGUAGAAGAUGCUUGAUCAAAUCAGUCAAACUCGGGCUUCCCGCUGUGAAUCUAACAGAUGAUAAAUAUGAACUUGAGUUCUCAUGAAUUUUCAGCCAUGAGUCCAUCUGGAAUAAUUCCACUGAGAGAAGAAGGCUUCCAUUCUAUCAAGAAAAAAGGCUGCAUGGAAAUCACGGAAAGCUACAGAAAAAAGCUUACCAUCAACAGUGACUAUCUUAUUUGCCAUGCACAGGCCAUGUUAAAAUACAGUACUUGUACAUGGUUGCAGUACACUGGAAACAAAUGCUUUUUGUGAUUUGUCUGAAUGGAUAACCUGUUCUGCUGAGAAGAAACUAAUGCACAAGCUACCUUGCAGCUGGUGAUGAGACCUCAAUAGCUAAACAGAAGCACCAAGGUUUGGGAAAUUACAAAAUUUCAAGGAAUUUAAGAGAAUCUGGGAGGAUGAUAGUCACUGGUAGAAUAGCAGGGACUGUAUUAGAGGAAAAAUAAUGGAGAUCAGCUGUGCUUAGAAGAACUACAUAAAGAAAAUGAAGCCAUUGGCCUGAACCACUGAUUAAUCACCUGAGGAAAGGACUGAGUCAGUUGGGAGCACAGGUGAAGGUAAUUCAGCUGUGAAUUCACCUAGACCCCCGCAUUUAAGGGCUGACUGCCACUAGGGAACGGUCUCUUUCUGGAUGUCUCUUUGUGGAGUCUUUCUUGCAAAUCUGGAUCUUUGGAUAUAGCUACUUAAUUGAAAAGACUAAGAGAAGAAAUGAGCAUGGGAAAGAAAGCUGUUUUCUAGAUUGGUUUACUGAGACUGGAACUGAUGGCCGAUAGCUUAAACUGCACAUGUGACACCAGAGCAAAGAAACACAAACAUCCUUACCAUCAAGAAGGCUAGGCAGGGCAGUACUGAAUGGAUUAUUCUAGCAACUCCUGAAAUGCAAAACCUUCUGUGGCAAGAGAGAAGAGGCAGUCUUCUGUCUACUGCUCUGACCUGACGGACAUGCUCUCUCCAAGUAUGACUUCAUUCAGGUAGUAAGACCAAGAACUGCAUUAAAAAACAGGAAGAUUGGCCCUAGGCAGACAGUAAAAGCCUGAUUUGGAAAGCUAUUGUCUGGAGAUUGUAUUUGCAUAACAGCAAACAGAGUCAACCUACAUUGUCCAGUGUUGAGGGAAAAAUAACCUUCGGAGAAAAGGAAGGCAAUUUGCCCUGCAAUGAGUCAUCAGCUCUGCUGUGCCGAAGGAAGAAGACAUUUUUGAGGAAAGGCUGCUGGCAUAUAUCUACUGUAGAGGAGAAGAAACAUAUAGUGUGAGAAUGGUCAUACCAGGAGAACUGUCAAAGAAUUGGAUAUAUGCUCUACUUUUCUGUUCCUAAGAAGCUGAUCCCUGGGAAAAAACAGUGGUGAAGAUAUUCAGAAAACCAUCAUGAUUCUCUGCAAGAUCCUUUGAGGAACUCCACUACAAGAAAACAAAAAUGGUGUGCUCUUGAGAGGGUUGCAUUUUCCCAUCUGUGAUUAAAAAUACAUAUAACGAAGAAACUGUAGCCUUACUUUAAGUGCAAAGAAAACAGAACCAGAAGUUGUGCUUUAUAGGAAGCAGAGAGAUGCUGCAAUGUUCAAGACUUGAAUUACUGCAGACCAGCUAAGAUACCAAUCUUCCUGAUUAAAGACUAAAAUGCCUUUCUUUCUUGCCAUUCUCACAAUGGAGAAUCAUGAAGCUGCCUUUACUUGCUGAGUAACUCAGAGAAUGUGCCAACAUUUAGUCCAAGAAGACUAAAUCCACAGUGAUCCUCCCUAGAAGAGCCUUGAGAAGGCCCUGGAGAGAGCCAGGAUCCUGCAGAAUGUGUAAGGAGAGGUCUCUGAUGUCUUCACUUUGCCUGACUGCUCUACUGACAGAACGCACGUUUUUCAAGCAAAAGAUUCCUGUGGAGGAGUAAAACAGCCUGAAGGUACCACUUAUGAUGUAAAAGAGUGUUCUCUGUGACCUUAGCAAACCUAUGAACUGACCAAGAAAGCUUCUUUUCAUAAAAUGGAGAGGAUAGGAGGGAAAUAUUGAGAAAGCAUGUGCAAGCAACCUCGAGGAACGAAUUUGUGAAUUUAAAGCAUCAUUCAGCUUAUCAGCCUCUGCUUCAGUUACUGUGACAUCAUUUAUCAAGGUCCUCUCGGGGAUUUGAAAUUAAUGCGGAGGCUAAAAGCUCCCAGACUUCAUAUUGCGCAAUGGUGGUGUUCUUUGGAGAAAAGAUCAGCUACCCUGCCUCCAGCCUUUUCCCCAUAGCAUGAUCUGAAGUGGGACAGAAGCAUCAGAAGUACAGCGCAGAGGUAAAAAGAGUAAUUUGUUUCCUGGGAGAUGUCACUGUUGUCAUGAGAGACACGAGAUGUCAUCCUUCUAGAACAGAAAUCUUCCUGAUUAAACUCUGUGACAUACUGAACAUCCAGCUGUUUUAUUAUUGUGUUUUCAAUGACCAUUUCAAAGGGAUGCCUUGAAUAACCAGCAGAGACUUUUACAAAUAAAAGUACAGCUUGAGGUACUACCUCAUCUUCUGCAACAGUGAUUACCCUCAUGCAUACUGAAAUUUUUGUGGAAAAAAAAAAGCCUCAACUUUUUACAAC